UCUCAGAUAGCUCAACUAGUAAAGAAUCUGCCUGCUAUGCAGGGGACCUAGGUUCGAUCCCUGGGUUGGGAA
rnacentral:tRNA from 1 species